rnacentral:rRNA from 1 species
CAGCCGUAAACUAUGCGCGUUAGGUGUACUGGUGACCACGAGUCACCGGGGUGCCGAAGGGAAACCGUGAAACGUGCCGCCUGGGAAGUACGGUCGCAAGGAUGAAACUUAAAGGAAUUGGCGGGGGAGCACCACAACGGGUGGAGCCUGCGGUUUAAUUGGACUCAACGCCGGAAAUCUCACCGGAUAGGACAGACAUAUGAUAGUCGGGCUGAAGACUCUACUUGAUGAUCUGAGAGGUGGUGCAUGGCGUCAGUGACU